AGCGUACACGGUGGAUGCCCUGGCAGUCAGAGGCGAUGAAGGACGUGCUAAUCUGCGAUAAGCGUCGGUGAGGUGAUAUGAACCGUUAUAACCGGCGAUUUCCGAAUGGGGAAACCCAGUGUGUUUCGACACACUAUCAUUAACUGAAUCCAUAGGUUAAUGAGGCGAACCGGGGGAACUGAAACAUCUAAGUACCCCGAGGAAAAGAAAUCAACCGAGAUUCCCCCAGUAGCGGCGAGCGAACGGGGAGGAGCCCAGAGCCUGAAUCAGUGUGUGUGUUAGUGGAAGCGUCUGGAAAGGCGCGCGAUACAGGGUGACAGCCCCGUACACAAAAAUGCACAUAUUGUGAGCUCGAUGAGUAGGGCGGGACACGUGGUAUCCUGUCUGAAUAUGGGGGGACCAUCCUCCAAGGCUAAAUACUCCUGACUGACCGAUAGUGAACCAGUACCGUGAGGGAAAGGCGAAAAGAACCCCGGCGAGGGGAGUGAAAAAGAACCUGAAACCGUGUACGUACAAGCAGUGGGAGCCUCUUAAUGGGGUGACUGCGUACCUUUUGUAUAAUGGGUCAGCGACUUAUAUUCUGUAGCAAGGUUAACCGAAUAGGGGAGCCGAAGGGAAACCGAGUCUUAACUGGGCGUUAAGUUGCAGGGUAUAGACCCGAAACCCGGUGAUCUAGCCAUGGGCAGGUUGAAGGUUGGGUAACACUAACUGGAGGACCGAACCGACUAAUGUUGAAAAAUUAGCGGAUGACUUGUGGCUGGGGGUGAAAGGCCAAUCAAACCGGGAGAUAGCUGGUUCUCCCCGAAAGCUAUUUAGGUAGCGCCUCGUGAAUUCAUCUCCGGGGGUAGAGCACUGUUUCGGCAAGGGGGUCAUCCCGACUUACCAACCCGAUGCAAACUGCGAAUACCGGAGAAUGUUAUCACGGGAGACACACGGCGGGUGCUAACGUCCGUCGUGAAGAGGGAAACAACCCAGACCGCCAGCUAAGGUCCCAAAGUCAUGGUUAAGUGGGAAACGAUGUGGGAAGGCCCAGACAGCCAGGAUGUUGGCUUAGAAGCAGCCAUCAUUUAAAGAAAGCGUAAUAGCUCACUGGUCGAGUCGGCCUGCGCGGAAGAUGUAACGGGGCUAAACCAUGCACCGAAGCUGCGGCAGCGACACUAUGUGUUGUUGGGUAGGGGAGCGUUCUGUAAGCCUGUGAAGGUAGCCUGUGAGGGUUGCUGGAGGUAUCAGAAGUGCGAAUGCUGACAUAAGUAACGAUAAAGCGGGUGAAAAGCCCGCUCGCCGGAAGACCAAGGGUUCCUGUCCAACGUUAAUCGGGGCAGGGUGAGUCGACCCCUAAGGCGAGGCCGAAAGGCGUAGUCGAUGGGAAACAGGUUAAUAUUCCUGUACUUGGUGUUACUGCGAAGGGGGGACGGAGAAGGCUAUGUUGGCCGGGCGACGGUUGUCCCGGUUUAAGCGUGUAGGCUGGUUUUCCAGGCAAAUCCGGAAAAUCAAGGCUGAGGCGUGAUGACGAGGCACUACGGUGCUGAAGCGACAAAUGCCCUGCUUCCAGGAAAAGCCUCUAAGCAUCAGGUAACAUCAAAUCGUACCCCAAACCGACACAGGUGGUCAGGUAGAGAAUACCAAGGCGCUUGAGAGAACUCGGGUGAAGGAACUAGGCAAAAUGGUGCCGUAACUUCGGGAGAAGGCACGCUGAUAUGUAGGUGAAGCGACUUGCUCGUGGAGCUGAAAUCAGUCGAAGAUACCAGCUGGCUGCAACUGUUUAUUAAAAACACAGCACUGUGCAAACACGAAAGUGGACGUAUACGGUGUGACGCCUGCCCGGUGCCGGAAGGUUAAUUGAUGGGGUUAGCGGUAACGCGAAGCUCUUGAUCGAAGCCCCGGUAAACGGCGGCCGUAACUAUAACGGUCCUAAGGUAGCGAAAUUCCUUGUCGGGUAAGUUCCGACCUGCACGAAUGGCGUAAUGAUGGCCAGGCUGUCUCCACCCGAGACUCAGUGAAAUUGAACUCGCUGUGAAGAUGCAGUGUACCCGCGGCAAGACGGAAAGACCCCGUGAACCUUUACUAUAGCUUGACACUGAACAUUGAGCCUUGAUGUGUAGGAUAGGUGGGAGGCUUUGAAGUGUGGACGCCAGUCUGCAUGGAGCCGACCUUGAAAUACCACCCUUUAAUGUUUGAUGUUCUAACGUUGGCCCCUAAUCGGGGUUGCGGACAGUGUCUGGUGGGUAGUUUGACUGGGGCGGUCUCCUCCUAAAGAGUAACGGAGGAGCACGAAGGUUGGCUAAUCCUGGUCGGACAUCAGGAGGUUAGUGCAAUGGCAUAAGCCAGCUUGACUGCGAGCGUGACGGCGCGAGCAGGUGCGAAAGCAGGUCAUAGUGAUCCGGUGGUUCUGAAUGGAAGGGCCAUCGCUCAACGGAUAAAAGGUACUCCGGGGAUAACAGGCUGAUACCGCCCAAGAGUUCAUAUCGACGGCGGUGUUUGGCACCUCGAUGUCGGCUCAUCACAUCCUGGGGCUGAAGUAGGUCCCAAGGGUAUGGCUGUUCGCCAUUUAAAGUGGUACGCGAGCUGGGUUUAGAACGUCGUGAGACAGUUCGGUCCCUAUCUGCCGUGGGCGCUGGAGAACUGAGGGGGGCUGCUCCUAGUACGAGAGGACCGGAGUGGACGCAUCACUGGUGUUCGGGUUGUCAUGCCAAUGGCACUGCCCGGUAGCUAAAUGCGGAAGAGAUAAGUGCUGAAAGCAUCUAAGCACGAAACUUGCCCCGAGAUGAGUUCUCCCUGACUCCUUGA
rnacentral:rRNA from 1 species